AUGGUGCAAGCUGGGAGAGCGUCAAACUGAAGAUUUGAAGGUCGCGUAUUUGAUUCACGCUCACCGUA
rnacentral:tRNA from 1 species